rnacentral:rRNA from 1 species
UACGGAGGGUGCGAGCGUUAAUCGGAAUUACUGGGCGUAAAGGGUGCGUAGGUGGUUAAUUAAGUUAUCUGUGAAAUACCCGGGCCUAACCUGGGCAGGUCAGAUAAGACUGGUUGACUUGAGUAUGGGAGAGGGUAGUGGAAUUUCCGGUGUAGCGGUGAAAUGCGUAGAGAUCGGAAGGAACACCAGUGGCGAAGGCGGCUACCUGGCCUGAUACUGACACUGAGGCACGAAAGCGUGGGGAGCAAAC